GAAAUGGUCCAGCAGAGUAGUGGACAGUGAGUUGCUAUGAGAAGGCAAAAAGAAAACCCAGACAAACAACAAACCAGAACAAAAACAGUAAGUAAAAGAAACAGGAAAUCAAGCUCAAGUGGGACUGAUUCCAAACACUGACCAAUUUUAUCCUGACUGCAAUUUUGCCUUGACCUUUCCUGACUAAAGCAAAAUGAGGCUGGCUACGUGGAGAGGUUUUUUGCAGUGUUUAUACUGUAAGAGUCAUGCUGACUCAAAC
rnacentral:lncRNA from 1 species